CAUGUAUUAGUGGAUUUUUUUUUUUUUUUAAAGCUCAAACUUCUUAAUUGCUUUAAAUAUAAAAUGGGCACCAACCACUAUACAAAGUUAUAAUUACUAACAAUUUUGGCCAUGGUAGGUUUGAUACAGAAAGGUUCAAGCUGUAAACAAUUCCUCUAACCCUACCACCUAAAUAUUUUGAGCUUGAACCAUAAAGAAAAUCCAAUAAUACAUGACACAAUAAAAAUGAAAUACAACAAAAAAGAAAUUGCCUUU
rnacentral:misc_RNA from 1 species